CCCCUUGGAGACGCCGCCCGCGCACCGCCGAGGGGAGGGGGCAGCGCCAACAAAUUGGGGAGCUCCUCCGGCCGCGCGCUCAGGUCUCUGCUCAGAGCCGCCGCACCCGGGACGGUGUGCAGGGCUCACACCCGGGCCCUCGGAGACUGAGCUGCUCGCCGCAGCCCCCGGGAGCCGGGCUGCCGUUCCCUGCCGUCCCCGUUGGUCCCCCGCCGCCCCGGGCGCGCCACCAUGGGGCCCCGGUUCAGCGUCUGGCUUCUCCUGCUGCUCGUCGCCCUUCUGCUCCACGAGGAGCGCAGCCGGGCCGCUGCGAAGGGUGAUUGUGGUGGCUCUGGCUGUGGAAAAUGUGACUGUCAUGGCGUGAAGGGACAAAAGGGAGAAAGAGGAUUUCCAGGGUUACAAGGUGUCAUUGGGUUUCCUGGAAUGCAAGGACCCGAGGGACCUCAUGGACCACCAGGACAAAAGGGUGAUGCUGGAGAACCUGGGCUUCCUGGCACCAAAGGGACAAGAGGACCCCCUGGAGUAGCUGGCUACCCUGGCAACCCCGGACUUCCUGGUAUUCCUGGCCAAGAUGGUCCUCCAGGUCCUCCAGGUAUCCCAGGAUGCAACGGUACAAAGGGAGAGAGAGGGCCGCUUGGUCCUCCCGGCUUGCCUGGAUUCAGCGGGAAUCCUGGGCCACCAGGGUUACCAGGAAUGAAGGGAGACCCUGGUGAAAUUCUCGGCUUCACCCAUGGAAUACCGUUGAAAGGGGAGCGAGGAUUCCCUGGUAUCCCUGGGAUGCCGGGCCCACCAGGAGUACCAGGACUCCAGGGACCCGUUGGUCCUCCAGGAUUUACUGGACCACCGGGUCCCCCAGGUCCUCCUGGCCCUCCCGGAGAAAAGGGACAGAUGGGCUCCAGCUUCCAAGGACCAAAAGGUGACAAGGGCGAGCAGGGGGUCAGCGGCCCCCCUGGAGUACCCGGACAGGCACAAGUUAAGGAAAAAGGAGACUUUGCCCCAACUGGAGAAAAGGGUCAGAAAGGUGAACCUGGAUUCCAGGGAGUACCAGGGGUUGGAGAGAAAGGUGAACCAGGGAAACCAGGGCCUCGGGGAAAGCCUGGAAAAGAUGGCGAGAAAGGAGAAAAGGGAGGUCCGGGCUUUCCUGGUGAUUCCGGGUACCCAGGACUCCCAGGACGGCAGGGCCCUCAGGGAGAGAAGGGUGAAGCUGGACUUCCGGGCCCCCCUGGAAUUGUGAUUGGCACCAUGCCGCAGGGAGAGAAAGGAGAGCGAGGUCACCCCGGAGCACCAGGGUUAAGAGGAGAGCCGGGCCCUAAAGGUUACCCUGGAAUACAAGGCCAGCCAGGCCCUCCAGGCUUCCCCGUUCCAGGCCAGCCUGGUGCUCCUGGCUUCCCAGGCGAAAGAGGAGAAAAAGGUGACCAAGGAGUCCCAGGUGUGUCUUUACCAGGACCAAGUGGAAGAGAUGGAGCCCCAGGGCCUCCUGGCCCUCCUGGCCCCCCUGGACAGCCAGGCCACACAAAUGGCAUUGUGGAGUGUCAGCCUGGACCACCUGGGGACCAGGGUCCUCCCGGAACUCCAGGACACCCUGGUUUGACAGGUGAAGUUGGGCAGAAAGGUCAGAAAGGAGAAGGCUGCCUUGCUUGUGACACAGAAGGACUUCGAGGCCCUCCUGGGCCGCAGGGGCCCCCAGGAGAGAUUGGUUUCCCCGGACAGCCAGGGGCCAAAGGUGACCGAGGCUUCCCUGGCAGGGAUGGCCUUGAAGGACUACCGGGUCCACAAGGUGCACCAGGGCUCAUGGGCCAGCCUGGAGCAAAGGGAGAGCCUGGCGAGAUAUUUUUUGACAUGCGGCUCAAAGGUGACAAAGGAGACCCAGGUUUUCCAGGACAGCCAGGCAUGCCGGGAAGAGCAGGAACCCCUGGAAGAGAUGGCCACCCAGGACUUCCUGGACCCAAAGGCUCCCCGGGUUUGGUAGGAUUGAAAGGAGAGCGAGGUCCCCCCGGAGGAGUUGGCUUCCCCGGUAGUCGUGGUGACAUCGGCCCACCUGGCCCCCCAGGAAUUGGUUCCAUUGGUCCUAUUGGUGAAAAAGGACAACCAGGCUUUCCUGGAGGCCCUGGGUCCCCAGGUCUUCCAGGUCCAAAGGGUGAAGCAGGAAAGGUCGUCCCACUUCCUGGCCCCCCUGGAGCUGCAGGUCUUCCGGGACCCCCUGGGUUCCAAGGGCCACAAGGUGACCGAGGCUUCCCAGGAACCCCAGGACGGCCAGGCAUCCCGGGAGAGAAGGGUGCUGUGGGUCAGCCAGGGAUUGGAUUUCCCGGGCCUCCGGGCCCCAAAGGUGUUGACGGCUUGCCUGGAGAUGUGGGAGCGCCUGGGAGUCCGGGCCGCCCUGGAUUUAAUGGCUUACCCGGCAACCCAGGACCACAAGGCCAAAAGGGAGAACCUGGCAUUGGGCUACCAGGACUCAAAGGCCAGCCGGGCCUUCCCGGCAUUCCCGGCACACCCGGAGAGAAGGGCAGCAUUGGCGGACCAGGCGUUCCUGGAGAGCAUGGAUUGGUUGGCCCCCCGGGACUCCAGGGGAUCAGAGGUGACCCGGGACCUCCCGGAGUUCAAGGCCCUGCGGGUCCACCAGGGGUUCCAGGAAUAGGACCACCCGGAGCCAUGGGCCCUCCCGGAGGGCAGGGACCACCAGGGUCAUCAGGUCCACCUGGAAUCAAAGGAGAGAAGGGUUUCCCUGGAUUCCCAGGACUGGACAUGCCCGGCCCCAAAGGAGAUAAAGGCUCUCAAGGUCUUCCUGGCCUCACAGGACAGUCAGGCCUCCCUGGCCUUCCUGGACAGCAAGGGACUCCUGGAGUUCCAGGGUUCCCAGGUUUGAAAGGCGAAAUGGGCGUCAUGGGAACCCCAGGGCAACCAGGCUCACCAGGACCAGCAGGCACCCCAGGGUUACCUGGGGAAAAAGGGGACCAUGGCCUUCCUGGCUCCUCAGGACCCAGGGGAGACCCUGGCUUUAAAGGCGACAAAGGGGACAUUGGGCUUCCUGGCAUGCCAGGAUCUAUGGAGCACGUGGACAUGGGCAGCAUGAAGGGACAGAAAGGAGACCAAGGAGAGAAGGGACAAAUUGGACCCGCUGGUGAUAAAGGUUCCCGAGGAGAUCCAGGAACACCAGGAGUGCCUGGGAAGGAUGGGCAGGCAGGGCAACCUGGACAGCCAGGACCUAAAGGUGACCCAGGUCUUAGUGGAACACCAGGAGCCCCUGGCCUCCCUGGACCCAAAGGAUCAGUUGGAGGAAUGGGCAUGCCAGGUUCACCUGGACAGAAAGGUGUGCCAGGCAUCCCCGGCCAACAGGGAGUCCCCGGCUUACCUGGAGAGAAGGGGGCAAAGGGAGAGAAGGGACAGUCGGGUCUACCUGGCAUCGGAAUCCCUGGACGGCCUGGUGACAAGGGAGACCAGGGGCUCGCUGGUUUCCCAGGCAGCCCUGGUGAAAAGGGGGAGAAAGGCAGUGCCGGAACCCCAGGGAUGCCAGGGUCCCCAGGCCCAAGGGGGUCUCCAGGGAGCAUCGGCCAUCCAGGAAGCCCAGGCCUGCCUGGAGACAAGGGAGACAAAGGCCUCCCAGGACUGGAUGGCAUUCCCGGCGUCAAAGGAGAAGCAGGUCUCCCGGGGACUCCCGGCCCUACCGGCCCAGCUGGCCAGAAGGGAGAGCCUGGCAGUGAUGGAAUCCCGGGGUCAGCAGGAGAAAAGGGUGAACCAGGUCUUCCAGGAAGAGGCUUCCCAGGCUUCCCAGGGAACAAAGGAGACAAAGGUUCCAAGGGUGAAGUGGGCUUCCCUGGCUUAGCUGGGAGUCCAGGAAUUCCUGGAGCCAAGGGCGAGCAAGGAUUCAUGGGUCCUCCGGGCCCUCAAGGACAACCCGGCUUACCUGGCACUCCCGGUCACCCUGUGGAGGGGCCUAAAGGAGACCGAGGACCUCAGGGUCAACCCGGCCUGCCAGGGCAUCCGGGACCUAUGGGGCCUCCAGGGUUCCCUGGAAUCAACGGGCAGAAAGGUGAAAAGGGAAAUCCAGGUUGGCCAGGAGCUCCUGGGAUUAUAGGCCCUAAGGGAGACCCAGGAUUUCAAGGCAUGCCGGGCAUUGGCGGCUCUCCAGGAAUCACAGGUUCAAAGGGAGAUAUGGGACCCCCAGGAGUUCCAGGAUUCCAAGGUCAGAAAGGUCUUCCUGGCCUACAGGGAGUGAAAGGAGACCAGGGAGAUCAAGGCAUACCCGGCCCCAAAGGUCUUCAAGGCCCCCCAGGCCCCCCAGGUCCAUAUGAUGUCAUCAAAGGAGAACCAGGGCUCCCUGGUCCAGAGGGUCCCCCUGGUCUAAAAGGGCUCCAAGGACCACCAGGGCCAAAAGGACAGCAAGGUGUGACAGGCUCAGUGGGCUUGCCCGGACCCCCAGGUGUCCCUGGGUUUGAUGGUGCCCCUGGCCAGAAAGGAGAGACUGGACCCUUUGGACCACCUGGUCCGAGAGGGUUUCCUGGUCCACCAGGCCCUGAUGGGCUGCCAGGAUCCAUGGGUCCCCCAGGUACCCCAUCUGUGGACCAUGGCUUCCUUGUGACCAGGCAUAGUCAGACCACAGAUGAUCCACUGUGUCCUCCAGGGACCAAAAUUCUUUACCAUGGGUACUCUCUGCUCUAUGUGCAGGGCAAUGAGCGGGCCCACGGGCAGGACUUGGGCACAGCUGGCAGCUGUCUGCGCAAGUUCAGCACGAUGCCCUUCCUCUUUUGCAACAUCAACAACGUCUGCAACUUCGCCUCCAGGAACGACUACUCCUACUGGCUGUCCACGCCAGAGCCCAUGCCCAUGUCCAUGGCGCCCAUCUCUGGGGACAACAUCCGGCCCUUCAUUAGCAGCUUUCCUUGGAAAACAGGUGUGCAGUGUGUGAAGCGCCCGCCAUGGUGAUGGCAGUGCACAGUCAGACCAUUCAGAUCCCGCCGUGCCCAAACGGUUGGUCCUCACUGUGGAUUGGCUAUUCCUUCGUGAUGCAUACCAGCGCUGGUGCUGAAGGUUCUGGCCAAGCCCUUGCAUCCCCUGGGUCCUGUCUGGAAGAGUUUAGAAGCGCCCCAUUCAUAGAGUGCCAUGGCCGAGGAACAUGUAAUUACUAUGCAAAUGCUUACAGCUUUUGGCUCGCCACCAUAGAGAGAAGCGAGAUGUUCAAGAAGCCCACGCCGUCCACCUUGAAGGCAGGGGAGCUUCGCACGCACGUCAGCCGCUGCCAAGUGUGCAUGAGAAGAACAUAGGAGGCCCGCCUCUGCCGCCGUCACAACAUGGUGCUACUCCCUCCUCGUCCUCUCCUCCCUCCCGUUUUAUUUUUUAACAGCAAUGAACCCUAGAAUUAUACCCCAUGUACCUCACUGUCCACUAUGAAAACCAUAAAGUGCCUUAUAGGGAUUUGCGUAACUAACACACCCUGCUUCGUUGGCUUCUGUUUGCUGAAGGAGAAGGACAGACAGCGAUAAGCUUUCCAUAGUGGCACAUACCUACCAAAUGGCACUCAUGAUCAAAUAAAAAAUGAAUUGCCUUUUGCAAUCCAGUGCACUGAUGUGUGAGGUGAGAACUCCAUAAGAAACCCAAGGUGCUACGGGUACACGGUACCCUCUAGACAGCCCACAGUCCGUUUCAACUUGUCACCCCAGAUGUGAGCGUCUGUCUCUACCACUGUCUAGUGUUUCCAAAUCAGGUCCCUCGAUGGUCUAUGCAAAUAGCAGGUCAAGGAAACUGGUUUCUUCCACCCUUUACAUGGAAUUCCAUCUUUUCAGCCCCAAACACCAACUUAUGCCCUGUGUGGUACUACGCAGCUGCUUUUGUGGAAGUCAUGGCUUUCCCAUGGAAUAAAGAUGGUCCAAAGGUAGACAGAAAAUAAAUAUAUGUAUAUGUAUUAGUAAUUUAUAUAGAUGUCAGCAAUUAGGCAGGUCAAGUUCUAGUGUAGAGCCUGUUGUUAAAUAAAGCAUGCUUCCUUCUCCUCUCUCGAAGACUGUGCUGUUCCUUCACAGGGUCUCCAACACCAGACCACCAAAUGUGAAACACCAGCUUUCCUCACUGACUCCCAAACCAAAGAAGGUGUUAUUGCCAAAGCCAAACUCAUUCCUAAACAUGGUGUCUAUGCUCAUGAGCCCUGUGCUUGGGCGCUUAUGGCUAUUACUCUGUUCGGAGUAUUUUCAGGGUUUUAAACACUAACCACAGACUGAAUGACUCACUUCCCAGAGCGAUGACAGCCAAGGCCUUCGUUAGCACCCUUCAUCCUGCAUCCCGGCAGGCAAUCUUUCACACCUGAGCACACACAGGCCACUUCUCAUGAGCUGUGUCACGGCUCCUGCAGGGAGUGAACAGGUCGCAGGAGGGCAGACUCGGACCAUUAUGCUUGAAGUGACAUUUCACUAGAAGUCCCCCCCAAAAAAACGUUUUUAAGACUACUAAGGCCUUCUGUGUAAUUUCUUUAAAUGUGUAUUUCUUAAGAAUUCAAAUUUGUAAUAAAACUAUUUGUAUAAAAAUGAAGCUUUUAUGGAUUUGUUGCUAGAGUUACCACUGAAAUAUUAAAAGAAAAGUUACUGCACGUACCGCUAAUAAACCUAUAAGCUUUGCUGCAUACCUUA